CAGCAGCCGCGGUAAUACGUAGGGUGCGAGCGUUAAUCGGAUUUACUGGGCGUAAAGCGUGCGCAGGCGGCCCGUUAAGACAGGUGUGAAAUCCCUGGGCUCAACCUAGGAAUUGCGCUUGUGACUGGCGGGCUCGAGUACGGUAGAGGGGGGUGGAAUUCCUGGUGUAGCAGUGAAAUGCGUAGAGAUCAGGAGGAACACCGAUGGCGAAGGCAGCCCCCUGGGCCUGUACUGACGCUCAUGCACGAAAGCGUGGGGAGCAAACAGGAUUAGAUACCCUGGUAGUCCACGCCCUAAACGAUGGGUACUAGCCGUUUGGUGCGCGAUAGCGCUGAGUGGCGAAGCUAACGCGUGAAGUCCCCCGCCUGGGGAGUACGGCCGCAAGGUUGAAACUUAAAGGAAUUGGCGGG
rnacentral:rRNA from 1 species